rnacentral:ncRNA from 1 species
AGCAACUCUAAGGGGUGCUGGUAUAGAACAUCCGCCUAGGGACUUCAGGUUCUGAAAAGGCUGGCAUUAUAGCUAGUCUGAUUACUGAAAGUCUCGAGAUGGCUAACCAUUAGUCGUUCAUACUUGUAUGAAUAGUUCUAUACUGUGCUGAGAUUAUACCCGAAGACCUGAUCCAGAUAAUACUGGCGUAGGCAAAGAGUGCGGCGUUUUU